rnacentral:rRNA from 1 species
ACGCUGGCGGCGUGCCUAAUACAUGCAAGUAGAACGCUGAAGCUUGGUGCUUGCACCGAGCGGAUGAGUUGCGAACGGGUGAGUAACGCGUAGGUAACCUGCCUCUUAGCGGGGGAUAACUAUUGGAAACGAUAGCUAAUACCGCAUAAAAGUCGAUAUCGCAUGAUAUUGAUUUGAAAGGUGCAAAUGCAUCACUAAGAGAUGGACCUGCGUUGUAUUAGCUAGUUGGUGAGGUAACGGCUCACCAAGGCGACGAUACAUAGCCGACCUGAGAGGGUGAUCGGCCACACUGGGACUGAGACACGGCCCAGACUCCUACGGGAGGCAGCAGUAGGGAAUCUUCGGCAAUGGGGGCAACCCUGACCGAGCAACGCCGCGUGAGUGAAGAAGGUUUUCGGAUCGUAAAGCUCUGUUGUAAGAGAAGAACGAGUGUGAGAGUGGAAAGUUCACACUGUGACGGUAACUUACCAGAAAGGGACGGCUAACUACGUGCCAGCAGCCGCGGUAAUACGUAGGUCCCGAGCGUUAUCCGGAUUUAUUGGGCGUAAAGCGAGCGCAGGCGGUUAGAUAAGUCUGAAGUUAAAGGCUGUGGCUUAACCAUAGUACGCUUUGGAAACUGUUUAACUUGAGUGCAGAAGGGGAGAGUGGAAUUCCAUGUGUAGCGGUGAAAUGCGUAGAUAUAUGGAGGAACACCGGUGGCGAAAGCGGCUCUCUGGUCUGUAACUGACGCUGAGGCUCGAAAGCGUGGGGAGCAAACAGGAUUAGAUACCCUGGUAGUCCACGCCGUAAACGAUGAGUGCUAGGUGUUGGGUCCUUUCCGGGACUCAGUGCCGCAGCUAACGCAUUAAGCACUCCGCCUGGGGAGUACGACCGCAAGGUUGAAACUCAAAGGAAUUGACGGGGGCCCGCAC